UGAGGAAUUUUGGACAAUGGGGGCAACCCUGAUCCAGCGACGCCGCGUGAGGGAUGAAGGUCUUCGGAUUGUAAACCUCUUUUAUUGGGGAAUAAGAAACUUAUGGAAACAUAGGGAGUGAAUGUACCCAAUGAAUAAGCCACGGCUAACUUCGUGCCAGCAGCCGCGGUAAUACGAAGGUGGCGAGCGUUACUCGGAAUUACUAGGCGUAAAGGGCAGGUAGGUGGUUUGAUAAGUCUGUUGUGAAAGCUCCUGGCUUAACUGGGAGAGGUCAACAGAAACUAUCAGGCUUGAGUAUGGGAGAGGGUACUGGAAUUCCCGGUGUAGCGGUGAAAUGCGCAGAGAUCGGGAGGAACACCUAUGGCGAAAGCAGGUACCUGGACCAUUACUGACACUCAGCUGCGAAAGCUAGGGGAGCAAACAG
rnacentral:rRNA from 1 species